rnacentral:lncRNA from 13 species
AUGCUAAGAUAUUCACAUGGUCUUAAAGAAUCACUCCACGGAUUGUUUAAAAUAAUUUUUAAUUUUUUUGACCAGGUACAGUGGCUUACACCUGUAAUCCUAGCAUUUUGGGAGGCUGAAGUGGACAGAUCAUUUGAGAGGGAGGAUACUCGGCCCAAGCUAGGAUAUCGAACUGUCUCUUCAAAGACUUCGAGAACUAAGAAAAUUGGAACUGAUGUGUCACAGCAUUUGUGCCCUGAUCCAACUGGCUAUAAAUCCCUGCUGCCAGAGCCCAGAGCUGCCCCGUGUCCUGCUCUUUCUGAUUUGGAUUUUCCAUCUCUCCCUUUGAUGUGGUGGACUCCCCAUAACUCCCAAUGAAGGGCAUUUUGCUUAAAUCAUCCAGUGUUAGUUUCUGUUGCUUAUGAUAAAAAACUUUAACUGGUUAAGUGAAGUCCCUUAAAAUAUUUUAGAACUGUUUUUCAAAUUCCAAUAUAUAAAACAGAGUGCAGACCAAGUGCAACGGCUCACAUCUAUAAUCCCAGCAUUUUGGGAGACCGAGGCAGGCAGAUUGCUUGAGUCUGAGAGUUUGAGACCAGCCUGGGCAACACAGUGAGACCUCAUAUCUGCACAAAAAAAAUGCCCCCCCCCAAAAAAAAUUAGCCAGAGGUAGUGGCACAUGCCUAUAAUCUCAGCUACUCGGGAGGAUGAGGUGGGAGGAUUGCUUGAGCCCGAGAGACAGAGGUUGCACUGAGCCAAGAUUGUGCCACUGCACUCCAGCCUGGGUGACAGAGUGAGACCCUGACUCAAAAAACAAACAUACAGGCCAGGCGUGGUGGUUCACACCUGUAAUCCCAGCACUUUGGGCAAGUGGUCAAGGUGGGCAGAUCAUGAGUUAGGCCAACAUGGUGAAACCCUUUCUUUACUAAAAAGACAAAAAUUAGCUGGGCAUGGCGGUGCAUGCUUGUAAUCCCAGGUACUCAGGGGGCUGAGGCAGGAGAAUUGCUUGAACCUGGGAGGCAGAGUUUGCAGUGAGCCAAGAUCACGCCACUCUAGCCUGGGUAACAGAGCAAGACUCUGUCUCGAGAAAACAAAACAAAACAAAAACAAACAAAAAACUCAAACAGAAAAAUAAAGAAAAAAACAGAGUGCUCUUGCA